GAGAAACCUUUUGGCAAGGACUUGGCAUCUGCAGAGAAGUUAAGUUCCCAGAUUGGGGAAUUGUUUGAUGAACCACAAAUUUACCGUAUAGAUCACUAUCUGGGGAAGGAGUUGGUUCAAAACCUGUUGGUACUUCGUUUCGCAAACCGCUUUUUCUUGCCCCUUUGGAACCGUGACAACAUUGAUAAUGUCCAGAUCGUGUUCAGGGAGGAUUUUGGUACCGAGGGGCGUGGUGGAUAUUUUGAUGAAUAUGGG
rnacentral:misc_RNA from 1 species